AAAAUCUAGCCCAUCCCACUCUCGCACUCCUCACACACACACACACCUCAGAGCGGCGGCGCAUGCUGCUCCGAAGCCGCCGUCAGCCGGCGACGGAAUGGAGGCGACUGGAUCCAGUGCUAAGAAGAAGAGAUCGGAUUAGCUCGAGGCCGACGAGUCCCCGCCGCCGGCAAUGACGGCCAUGGAGGCAUCCAAUCCCGAACUUGCAGCAAAGAAAAAGAGGACCAGCCAUAGCCAAGAACCAGCGCCGCCACCCGGUGCUGGAGGGGAACGAGGAGCCGGUGAUGUCGACCGCAUUAGCGGCCUCCCCGACGCCAUCAUCGGCGGCAUCAUCUCGCUCCUCCCCUCCACGGACAGGGCCCGCACCUCGCCUCGCGGUGGCGGCUCCUCUCGUGCUUCGCGCCACUCAACCUCGACCAGAGCGACCUCCCCUCCAAUAGGGAGGCCUUCGCCGGCGUCGUCUCCCGCAUCCUCUCCGUCCACUGGGGCCCGUGCCGCCGCUUCUGCGUUCCUGCGGGCUACCUCGAGGACCGCCCCGCCGCUAUGGACGCCUGGCUCUGGUCACCCGCCCUCGACAAUCUUGAGGAGAUUGAUUUCAUCCUGCCUCCGGCGUCUACGCUCCGCUUCUUGGCCACCCUCCGCGUCGCAGCCUUGAGAAAAUGCCACAUCCCCGACGGUCUCGCCCAAUCGCUCCAGCUUCCCCAGCUCAAGGAGCUCGCACUUGAAGAGGUAACCAUUUCAGAGGGGCUCACUGCACGGCUUGAUCUCCAGCUGCCCCGUCUCGCCCAAUCUUGAGGAGUGCUUGCUGCUUAGCAAUUGCACUGGCUUUGGUUGUGCUCGGAUCACCUCCAGCAGCCUAAGGGGCAUCGGAGUGCGAGCUGAAUGCUAUCAAGAGUCUGAGCUUCGGUUUCGCCUUUUCGGAACUUAUCAUCGACGAUGCCCCUUGUCUUGAAAGGUUGCUCUACGCUGAAUAUUUUGGCCUCAAUGUGUCUGCAGUCACUGCACCUAAACUGCUAACUGGAGAUAUUAUGCUUUUCUGUUGGUCAGUCCAAUUUCUCCAGACUUGUGUUUGGCAGCACAGAGUUUCAGGGAUUGAAUGCUGUUAGCUUGAUGACUGUACUGCACAGUGUCAAGAUUUUGGCUGUCAAUUCGUGGGUUACUGAGCUGGAUUUGGCUAUUGGCUUGAUGAAAUGCUUUCCGUGUUUGGAGAAGUUGUACAUACAGUCAUGUGGAUCAGUCGGGCAGAAUUUGUGGCAUAGUUAAAACAAGAAUUUUAUCCAAAACUAUGACAUCCAUAUCAAGACUGUAGUGUUGGGAAUGUGGGAAUGUAUCUGGGCAUCAGAGCGCAAGUCAACUUUGCUUCGUACACAGAAUGCAACAGAGUUGGAGGUAAUGAGAAUUGAGACAAUUUUACUUUGUCCAUACAAUUAAUUCUCAAAUUUGUAGUGUUCGGAUUAUUUAUUACCCCAGAACCAUGGGUUGUUUAAUCAAAUAAUGCUAUUAUUAGUGUUAUGAUUUAUGUGAUAGUGCUAGAACCAAUGAAGUGCAGAGCGCCAUGCUGAAAAGGUCUCUUCACAAGGUGCUUAUGUGAUUUUCCAUAGGAACUUAACUUGAACUAUAUCAUGCACAUGCCCUUUGUGCACCCCUAUGAUCUGUUAACUCUGUAUAUGGUGAAUUUAUGCCCAAAAAAAAUUUAGCUACAGUAAACAUUUUUGUAAGGCAGCAUCCUGGAUUUUUUAUUGUGAAUAAUUUUGCUCAUUCAUCCCCUCCUGUAGACCUAUUUAAAUUUCUCUAAGUUUCAGCUCAUACGAAUCCCUCACAACUUUGAGAAAUUGUCUUUCACAAGUGCUUAGUAUUCUUUUCAUUGUGUAUAAACAUAACAAUAUCUUGUUCCUACAGUUCUUUACUUUACCUGGUGACUUAAGAUAAAAUUGAGGCAUUUCUCUGGCUUUGUUGAUAUAUAUUUCGCUGCAUGUACUUCCAGAUAAUGUGUUGAAAGAGCUAUGUUUCUCCAUUUGCCAAGACCUAGGUUCCAUCUUCGGUUACUUAUAGAAAGUUUUUGCCCUUUUUUUUGGCUUCAAUUGCUGGAUAUAGCUUGCACUUUGGUAAGCAUGAGGGUGGCUCGGAAAAGAUUCCUUCACUAGAUGCUUGCCAAUGAAUGCUAACAAUCUCAACCAUUUUCAAACUUCAGUCUUUAGUUAAGUUUAAUAGACACCAAACAAAGCAUAUAUCCUAUGUUUAUUUAUAUAAACAAUGAACAAACAUGCAUGCGCCGUGGCUUAAGCAAGUGCCAGCCUUUGGGCUACAAAUCCUCUACCAAAUAAGUAGCAAAUUUAUUAGAUUAAAGCCAUGCAUAUAUUACUAAAUACAAUGCGACAAGAUUUAUGGAGCAUACGUCAUUAAAUUAUCAACGGUAAGUUUGACCAACUUUGUGUUGAACAAAACUCCAGUGGAGAUGUAUAUUAGACAGGUAAGAGUCAAGAGUACCCGGACAGAUGACGUUCUGAAACGCUUCUGCGAAUUAAAUAAGUAUAUUUGAGAUACAUCUUUCUGGAUUCACUGGCAUUAAUUGUGCACCUCGACUCCGCUCCUAUAUAAGGGGCAACAAGCAAAUGGCCUUCCUUUGGAUGGCAUAAAUCCGGUGCCGUUUGGCUUCUCCCUUGAGCAGCACAGGCUGCAGUUGGAUCAGGUCCUCCAACUCUACAACGAGCAGGUUCGGGUGUCUCUGCAGCAGGAAAUGUCUAUACAGAACUUAACUCUACUGAACCUUCGGACAACUGAUGCGCUGAUUCAGAAGGUUGAAGAGGUAGCCAGCUUGAAAGAAGAGGUAGCCAGCUUGCAUGUAGAGUUGCAGAGGAAGCAAGGAGAUAUAGAAGCUGCACAGCAGUUUGCUGUGAUGGUUCUUGAAACGAAUGAGUCACUUAUCCACAGGCCUCCCCCGAUGCAGCAGGAAAUGAACUUACAUAUCUCAUCUAACCAGUCAGAUGCUCCAGGCUCUGGAAAUGAAGCAUCGAGCGUGGUGAGAACCGCAGCAGAGACAACCAAGAUCGAUCUCAUCUGCAAGGUUUGCAACUUUGGUCUUGCUUGUAUGCUGUUACUGCCGUGCCAGCACCUCUGCGCAUGCAAUCCAUGCGGAGUCCGUCUCGCGGCAUGCCCUAUCUGCGGUGCUGUGAAGGGUGGUGCGGUCGAGGCCCGAUUUGUCUAGAAGUAAAGAAGCGAAAGCAGCGAUCGGAACCUGUUGUUUCUGAUGCGCCUAAUAAGAGCAUGUGUGUUUUCUUUCUCCGUGUAAGGUGUUGUAGCCUUGUUCUGUAAUCCUUUCUUGUAAUCCGUUCUGUUGUUGUCGUCGUAUUAAUGUCAUGUUUCUGUGUUCCCAAUA